UCGGAUAUGGUGCAAGGGAUAGCGCGGUCUCGAAAAUUCUCCUUGGGCGAAGUUGAGAGAGGCAGAUCGAGGUUCAAUUCCUCGUGUCCGUG